rnacentral:rRNA from 1 species
CCUACGGGUGGCAGCAGUGGGGAAUAUUGCACAAUGGGGGAAACCCUGAUGCAGCGACGCCGCGUGGGGGAAGAAGUAUCUCGGUAUGUAAAGCUCUAUCAGCAGGGAAGAAAAUGACGGUACCUGACUAAGAAGCACCGGCUAACUACGUGCCAGCAGCCGCGGUAAUACGUAGGGGGCAAGCGUUAUCCGGAUUUACUGGGUGUAAAGAGCGUGUAGGCGGGAUGGCAAGUCCGGAGUGAAAGCCCAUGGCUUAACCAUGGAACUGCACUUGAAACUGUGGGUCUUGAGUGCGGGAGGGGCAGGUGGAAUUCCUGGUGUAGGGGUGAAAUGCGUAGAGAUCAAGAGGAACACUGGGUGCGAAGGCGACCUGCUGGACCGUAACUGACGUUGAGGCUCGAAAGCGUGGGGAGCAAACAGGAUUAGAUACCCUUGUAGUC